GGAAGGAUCAUUAUCAAACAUGGAAUAUCUUAUUCUUAAACCCACUCUGAGUACCUGUACUUGUUGCUUCCAUGGGCAGUGAACAGUAUGUUUGCGCCUGCCCAUAUGGUGGACCCAUGGGAGAUAUCAUUAAACCCUGCAUUUCGUGAUGCCAGUCUGAUCAUGUUUAUUCAUUAAACGUUAAAACUUUCAACAACGGAUCUCUUGGUUCUCGCAUCGAUGAAGAACGCAGCGAAAUGCGAUAAGUAGUGUGAAUUGCAGAAUUCCGUGAAUCAUCGAAUCUUUGAACGCACAUUGCGCCUCCUGGCGUUCCGGGAGGCAUGCCUGUUCGAGCGUCAUAAAAAAAACCUCAAGCUUGAAUUCAUUCAUGACUUGGUAUUGGUAUUGGGGUGGACUUGAGCCAUUCCUAUCCGAAAUUCAAUGGCAAGGUUGUCUGUACCAACAAGUGUAGUAAUCGACAUUAUGUUUCACCGUUGUACAGAUCAACAUUCGCCGUUAACCCCUCAUUUCAAGUGUUUGACCUCGGAUCAGGCAGGGAUACCCGCUGAACUUAAGCAUAUCAAUAAGCGGAGGAAAAGAAACCAACAGGGAUUGCCUUAGUAACUGCGAGUGAAGCGGCAAAAGCUCAAAUUUUAAAUCUGGCAUCUUCGGUGUCCGAGUUGUAAUUUGGAGAGAUAUCUUCGGUUUGAACGCCGUCCGAAGUUCCUUGGAACAGGACGUCACAGAGGGUGAGAAUCCCGUAUGUGGAUGGCUGUUUCUUUCCAUGUGAAGUGUCUUCGACGAGUCGAGUUGUUUGGGAAUGCAGCUCAAAAUGGGUGGUAAAUGUCAUCUAAAGCUAAAUAUUGGCGAGAGACCGAUAGCGCACAAGUAGAGUGAUCGAAAGAUGAAAAGCACUUUGAAAAGAGAGUUAAAAAGUACGUGAAAUUGUUGAAAGGGAAGCGCUUGAGACCAGACUCAAUCUGUGGUGAUCAACAGUGCUUUUGUACUGUGCACUUGCCACUGUUUGGGACAGCAUCGGUUUGGAUGACGGGAUAAAGACCUGAGGAACGUAGCUCUCUUCGGGGAGUGUUAUAGCCACAGGUGUAAUGCUGUCAAUCCAGACCGAGGACCGCGCUUCUGCUAGGAUGCUGUCAUAAUGGUCUUCAGCGACCCGUCUUGAAACACGGACCAAGGAGUCUAACAUCUAUGCGAGUGUUCGGGUGGAAAACCCUUGCGCGAAAUGAAAGUGAACGGAGGUGGGAACCUUUCAGGGGCACCAUCGACCGAUCCUGAUGUUUUCGGAUGGAUUUGAGUAAGAGCAUAGCUGUUAGGACCCGAAAGAUGGUGAACUAUGCCUGAAUAGGGUGAAGCCAGAGGAAACUCUGGUGGAGGCUCGCAGCGGUUCUGACGUGCAAAUCGAUCGUCAAAUUUGGGUAUAGGGGCGAAAGACUAAUCGAACCAUCUAGUAG
rnacentral:rRNA from 1 species